rnacentral:rRNA from 1 species
ACUCAAAGGAAUAGACGGGGGCCCGCACAAGCAGUGGAGUAUGUGGUUUAAUUCGAAGCAACGCGAAGAACCUUACCAGGGCUUGACAUCCCGCGCAUAGCCAAGAGAUUGGCGAAGUCCUACGGGACGCGGAGACAGGUGGUGCAUGGUUGUCGUCAGCUCGUGUCGUGAGAUGUUGGGUUAAGUCCCGCAACGAGCGCAACCCCUGUUGUUAGUUGCCAUCAUUAAGUUGGGCACUCUAGCAAGACUGCCGGUGACAAAUCGGAGGAAGGUGGGGACGACGUCAAAUCAUCAUGCCCCUUAUGUCCUGGGCUACACACGUACUACAAUGGCUAAAACAGAGGGAAGCAAGAGAGCAAUCUGGAGCGAAGCCCAAAAAAUAGCCUCAGUUCGGAUUGUGGGCUGCAACCCGCCCACAUGAAGUCGGAAUUGCUAGUAAUGGCAGGUCAGCAUACUGCCGUGAAUACGUUCCCGGGCCUUGCACACACCGCCCGU